rnacentral:tRNA from 1 species
GAUUAUAAAGCUAAAUAGCAAUUUCAUUGUUACUGAAUAGAUAAUA